rnacentral:rRNA from 1 species
UCAGACGAACGCUGGCGGCGUGCUUAACACAUGCAAGUCGAACGCGAAAGGGACUUCGGCCCUGAGUAAAGUGGCGCACGGGUGAGUAACGCGUAGAUAACCUGUCUUCAUGUCUGGAAUAAUACGCCGAAAGGGGGUACUAAUACCGGAUAUUCUUGCUUUUUCAUAAGUUAUGCAAGCAAAGGUGGCCUCUGCAUAUGCUACUGCAUGAAGAGGGGUCUGCGUACCAUUAGCUAGUAGGUGGGGUAAUGGCCUACCCUAGGCGACGAUGGUUAGCGGGUCUGAGAGGAUGAUCCGCCACACUGGCACUGGAACACGGGCCAGACUCCUACGGGAGGCAGCAGUGAGGGAUAUUGCACAAUGGGCGCAAGCCUGAUGCAGCGACGCCGCGUGAGGGAUGACGGCCUUCGGGUUGUAAACCUCUUUCAGUUGGGGAGAAGCCUUUCGGGGUGACGGUACCUUCAGAAGAAGCACCGGCUAACUACGUGCCAGCCGCCGC